rnacentral:lncRNA from 12 species
CAAAACACCUAAACUCAAUUUUCCCUACUUGUUUUCCUCUCUACUGAUGAUAUUGUUUGAGGACAUCUGCAAGCUCAGGAUAAAUCUGUAGGUGCCUGCAGUCUGAGGGACUCACGGGGUAUCACAGCCUUUGGCUUGGAAGCCAGGGACCUCUUAUGACAUGAUGAGGUUUGACAUCCUUCAUAGCUGAGCUUCUGUGUGAAAAAGCCUGUGCUUGGGCAGGGGAGUGAGCACAGGCAAAGAAGAAAACAGAAUACAUGCCCAGCUUUCCUAUGUAGGACUUUUCUUCACUGCUCAACGGGAAAAAGAAUGACAAUGUGCUAGAAAUUGAGAAGAAGCUUCAUAUGUUCAAAGAUGCUGCUCCCGGCCUUUCGUUCAGCAGAGAGAGGAAAUAAAGCAACAUCUACAAAAUGUUUGUUUGGAAGCAACAUAAGUUCUCUUGGACACCUGAAAGGCUCCUGCCCUCCCAUCUUCCUAAACAGGGUAUUCUACACACAGAACUAUUCCUGUUAGGCAAUGUACUGAAAAGCCUGGAGACCAAAUAUGAAGAAGAAAAAAAAUCUGAAAAAUGUGGCUGCUCCCUUGGCUUGAUGGAUUUAACUGCUGCACUUUUGACAUCUUCCUAUGGGUGAUCUCCUCCACCUGGCACCAGGAGGCCAGGCCAUGCAGAACAUGUGGAUGUGGCUUCCCAGUAUGCAGAAUUCUUUGCCUCUGAUGUGGCUGGAUUCUCUUU